GGUGGUGAAAUGGCAUCAAAAAGGACUCUUAAUCAAUUGGUCGAGUGUUCGAGUCACUCCAGGCCCACCA
rnacentral:tRNA from 1 species